GAAAUGCGAUAAGUAAUGUGAAUUGCAGAAUUCAGUGAAUCAUCGAAUCAUUGAACGCACAUUGCGCCCGCCAGUAUUCUGGCGGGCAUGCCUGUUCGAGCGUCAUUUCAACCAUCAAGCUUUAGGCUUGUGUUGGAGCCCUGCGGCUGUCCGGAGGCCCCUAAAUACAGUGGCGGGCUCGUUACCACACGGAGUGCACUAGUUUUCUUUCUCGCUCAGGGCGUGAAGUGGGUGCUAGUCGUGAAACCCCUUUUUCACACGGUUGACCUCUUAUCAGGUAGGAAUACCCGCUGAACUUAA
rnacentral:misc_RNA from 1 species